GACGAACGCUGGCGGCGUGCUUAACACAUGCAAGUCGAACGGUAAGGCCCUUCGGGGUACACGAGUGGCGAACGGGUGAGUAACACGUGGGUGAUCCGCCCUGCACUUCGGGAUAAGCCUGGGAAACUGGGUCUAAUACCGGAUAGGACUCCGGACUGCAUGGUCUGGGGUGGAAAGCUUUUGCGGUGUGGGAUGGGCCCGCGGCCUAUCAGCUUGUUGGUGGGGUGAUGGCCUACCAAGGCGACGACGGGUAGCCGGCCUGAGAGGGUGACCGGCCACACUGGGACUGUGAUACUGCCCAGACUCCUACGGGAGGCAGCAGUGGGGAAUAUUGCACAAUGGGCGCAAGCCUGAUGCAGCGACGCCGCGUGAGGGAUGACGGCCUUCGGGUUGUAAACCUCUUUCAGCACAGACGAAGCGCAAGUGACGGUAUGUGCAGAAGAAGGACCGGCCAACUACGUGCCAGCCGCCGCCGUAA
rnacentral:rRNA from 1 species